rnacentral:rRNA from 1 species
AUGGGCUUCCCGGUCGGCUACUCCGAGCUGCUGCUCCCCAAGCAGCUGCUCCACCUCCUCCUCCUGCUCGGCUACCUCCGCCGCUUCCUCCUCUGGGCCUUCGACGCCGUCGGCCUCGGCGACCUGCUGGAUCUCGGGGACGAGCACCUGGCGCAGGAGCACGCGCGCGGCGACCACGGCGCCGCGGAGGCGCUGCUGCAGCACCGCCGGCCCGAGUUCCGGCCCGUGACGGCCAUGGUCAUCGAGGAGGUGCUCCCCGUGGUGCGGUUCGACGAGCUGGAGGCCGCGGCGUGCGUCGACGGGGACUGCGCCGUGUGCCUCAGCGGCAUCGGCGGUGGCGACGAGGUGCGGCGGCUCAGCAACUGCCGCCACGCCUUCCACAGGGGGUGCCUGGACCGCUGGAUGGAGCACGACCAGCGCACCUGCCCGCUCUGCCGCGCCCCGCUCAUCCCCGACGAGAUGGCCGGCGCGCUCUGGGCCACCGCCGCCGGCGUGCCCGACGCCUCCGACUUCGACUUCUUCUACCUGGGCGCCUCGGCGCCCACCACCCCGACGCUGCUGCGGCCGCACGAGCUGCUGCUCACCGGCCUCGGCGGCUACCAGUGA